GGAGAAAAGCAGGGGAUCGCAAGACCUUGCGCUAAAGGAGCGGCUGAUGUCUGAUUAGCUAGUUGGUGAGGUAAAGGCUCACCAAGGCAACGAUCAGUAGUUGGUCUGAGAGGACGGCCAACCACACUGGGACUGAGACACGGCCCAGACUCCUACGGGAGGCAGCAGUGGGGAAUUUUGGACAAUGGGCGAAAGCCUGAUCCAGCCAUGCCGCGUGAGUGAAGAAGGCCUUCGGGUUGUAAAGCUCUUUUAGUCGGAAAGAAAGAGUUGCAAUGAAUAAUUGUGAUUUAUGACGGUACCGACAGAAAAAGCACCGGCUAACUACGUGCCAGCAGCCGCGGUAAUACGUAGGGUGCGAGCGUUAAUCGGAAUUACUGGGCGUAAAGGGUGCGCAGGCGGUUUUGUAAGUCAGAUGUGAAAUCCCCGGGCUUAACCUGGGAAUUGCGUUUGAAACUACAAGGCUAG
rnacentral:rRNA from 1 species